CCUACGGGUGGCUGCAGUGGGGAAUUUUUCGCAAUGGGCGCAAGCCUGACGACGCAACGCCGCGUGGAGGAUGAAGAUCUUCGGGUUGUAAACUCCUUUCGAUCGAGACGAAUGGCCCUUGGGCUAACAUCCUGAGGGAGUGACGGUACCGAGAGAAGAAGCCCCGGCUAACUCCGUGCCAGCAGCCGCGGUAAUACGGGGGGGGCAAGCGUUGUUCGGAAUUACUGGGCGUAAAGGGCUCGUAGGCGGCCAACUAAGUCAUACGUGAAAUCCCUCGGCUUAACCGGGGAACUGCGUCUGAUACUGGAUGGCUUGAGUUCGGGAGAGGGAUGCGGAAUUCCAGGUGUAGCGGUGAAAUGCGUAGAUAUCUGGAGGAACACCGGUGGCGAAGGCGGCAUCCUGGACCGAUACUGACGCUGAGGAGCGAAAGCCAGGGGAGCAAACGGGAUUAGAUACCCCGGUAGUC
rnacentral:rRNA from 1 species